GUGCUGUGAGGUAUGCUGGAGGUAUCAGAAGUGCGAAUGCUGACAUAAGUAACGAUAAAGCGGGUGAAAAGCCCGCUCGCCGGAAGACCAAGGGUUCCUGUCCAACGUUAAUCGGGGCAGGGUGAGUCGACCCCUAAGGCGAGGCCGAAAGGCGUAGUCGAUGGGAAACAGGUUAAUAUUCCUGUACUUGGUGUUACUGCGAAGGGGGGACGGAGAAGGCUAUGUUGGCCGGGCGACGGUUGUCCCGGUUUAAGCGUGUAGGCUGGUUUUCCAGGCAAAUCCGGAAAAUCAAGGCCGAGGCGUGAUGACGAGGCACUACGGUGCUGAAGCAACAAAUGCCCUGCUUCCAGGAAAAGCCUCUAAGCAUCAGGUAACAUCAAAUCGUACCCCAAACCGACACAGGUGGUCAGGUAGAGAAUACCAAGGCGCUUGAGAGAACUCGGGUGAAGGAACUAGGCAAAAUGGUGCCGUAACUUCGGGAGAAGGCACGCUGAUACGUAGGUGAAGCGACUUGCUCGUGGAGCUGAAAUCAGUCGAAGAUACCAGCUGGCUGCAACUGUUUAUUAAAAACACAGCACUGUGCAAACACGAAAGUGGACGUAUACGGUGUGACGCCUGCCCGGUGCCGGAAGGUUAAUUGAUGGGGUUAGCGCAAGCGAAGCUCUUGAUCGAAGCCCCGGUAAACGGCGGCCGUAACUAUAACGGUCCUAAGGUAGCGAAAUUCCUUGUCGGGUAAGUUCCGACCUGCACGAAUGGCGUAAUGAUGGCCAGGCUGUCUCCACCCGAGACUCAGUGAAAUUGAACUCGCUGUGAAGAUGCAGUGUACCCGCGGCAAGACGGAAAGACCCCGUGAACCUUUACUAUAGCUUGACACUGAACAUUGAGCCUUGAUGUGUAGGAUAGGUGGGAGGCUUUGAAGUGUGGACGCCAGUCUGCAUGGAGCCGACCUUGAAAUACCACCCUUUAAUGUUUGAUGUUCUAACGUGGACCCGUGAUCCGGGUUGCGGACAGUGUCUGGUGGGUAGUUUGACUGGGGCGGUCUCCUCCUAAAGAGUAACGGAGGAGCACGAAGGUUGGCUAAUCCUGGUCGGACAUCAGGAGGUUAGUGCAAUGGCAUAAGCCAGCUUGACUGCGAGCGUGACGGCGCGAGCAGGUGCGAAAGCAGGUCAUAGUGAUCCGGUGGUUCUGAAUGGAAGGGCCAUCGCUCAACGGAUAAAAGGUACUCCGGGGAUAACAGGCUGAUACCGCCCAAGAGUUCAUAUCGACGGCGGUGUUUGGCACCUCGAUGUCGGCUCAUCACAUCCUGGGGCUGAAGUAGGUCCCAAGGGUAUGGCUGUUCGCCAUUUAAAGUGGUACGCGAGCUGGGUUUAGAACGUCGUGAGACAGUUCGGUCCCUAUCUGCCGUGGGCGCUGGAGAACUGAGGGGGGCUGCUCCUAGUACGAGAGGACCGGAGUGGACGCAUCACUGG
rnacentral:rRNA from 1 species